UGAAACAGAAGGAUUCAGUGGGACAGU
rnacentral:piRNA from 1 species